rnacentral:rRNA from 1 species
CAGUCGCCGCGGUAACACAGAGGGUGCGAGCGUUAAUCGGAUUUACUGUGCGUAAAGCGUGCGUAGGCGGCUAAUUGAGUCGGAUGUGAAAUCCCCGAGCUUAACUUGGGAAUUGCAUUCGAUACUGGUUAGCUAGAGUGUGGGAGAGGAUGGUAGAAUUCCAGGUGUAGCGGUGAAAUGCGUAGAGAUCUGGAGGAAUACCGAUGGCGAAGGCAGCCAUCUGGCCUAACACUGACGCUGAGGUACGAAAGCAUGGGGAGCAAACAGGAUUAGAUACCCCCGUAGUCCCUGUCUCUUAUAC